rnacentral:rRNA from 1 species
AGCAGCCGCGGUAAUUCCAGCUCCAAUAGCGUAUAUUAAAGUUGUUGCAGUUAAAAAGCUCGUAGUUGAAUUUCGGGAUCAAUGCGUCGGUCGUGCUUUCGGGUACGUACUGGUGUCAUUGGUUUCUCCUUUCUGACGAGCCGUGAUGUCAUUAAUUUGGUGUUACGGGUAGUUAGGACUGUUACUUUGAAAAAGUUAGAGUGUUUAAAGCAGGCAUUCGCUUGAAUACAUUAGCAUGGAAUAAUGAAAUAGGACGUUUGACCCUAUUUUGUUGGUUUCUAGGAUCAACGUAAUGAUUAAUAGGGAUAGUUGGGGGCAUUAGUAUUCAAUUGUCAGAGGUGAAAUUCUUGGAUUUAUUGAAGACUAACUACUGCGAAAGCAUUUGCCAAGGAUGUUUUCAUUAAUCAAGAACGAAAGUUAGGGGAUCGAAGACGAUCAGAUACCGUCGUAGUCUUAACCAUAAACUAUAGCCGACUAGGGAUCGGAUGAUGUUAAUUUUUAAUGACUCAUUCGGCGCCUU